rnacentral:lncRNA from 1 species
AGCACAGUUUCCAGUUUCACAGUUGAGGAACUGUGAGGGUCACAGAGAGGUUAAACCAUUUGCUUUUGUUCAGAUAGCAGAUAGUAAGUAGUGGAACGCAGACCAGAACUCAGGACUUGGCCGUGUCUCUAUGCACAUAUAUGGUCAUUUCAUGAUAACUUUGCAGAACACUGUGGAAUUUGAGGUAAGAGUGUUCUUUUCCAUAUUAGUAAUUCCAUCAAAAGAGCAAGUGGAAGUAAGGUGGUGUGGUACAUUCUCAGAGAACACAGUGUGUGCUGUGGUAGCUAGUGGUUGUUUUCUGGGCUGUUAUUGGGCACACACUGACAGUUAGGUGCUGGAUCUACUUAACGUGGUGAUCUCUGUGAGAAGUACGUAUGGACGUUUGCUAGUGUGCGUUUUUGCUUUUAUCCUCCUCAAGAUUUUUGCAUUGCUAAAAUCUUAGUUGACUCUUCAGAACUCGUAGGUUUGUGUUCACCUGAAGGAGGAACACUUGUCAUUUUCAACCAGUGACUUAUGGUGAGAUUGUUUUCAGCUAGUUCUUUAGUUAUAUAGAAUGUGGACAGAGUUUGAAACAUGAGAAAUAAGAGACUAUUUGAACACAACUAUGAGGACACUGUUUUUGCAAGCAAUCAAGAAUGGAAAUGACUCACUUCUAGGGUAUUUUUGAGUGAUUUAUAAGCAGAUUUGCCUCCUAGAUAGAAGCUAGCCUGUGAUCUUGAUGAUUACGAAGGGCCUCUGUGGCCACUGAUGACUUGGGGUUCCUGUGCUGUUGGACUGAGGGUUCACCCAAGUGACCUUCAACUCUGCUGUUAUCUCUGCCUAAACUCCUGCCCUUAAGCUUCCCGCACAGCAGAUGACCAUUUCCUUGUGCGCCAUAAGCUCUGUGUUGUCUGUCCUUACAUCAUCUUGGAUUAUUUUCUUUAUGUGAGGAGUUUCUCACAUAAGGCGUCUUUGAGAAUAAAGAUGAGGAGACCCUUUUACUAUAAGGUAAUGGGAAACAGGAAAAUGCUGGAGGGCUAGCACAGCGAGCCCCAUCUGCCACCACCAGAUGGAACUGUUGGGAACUGAGGGAACUGGGGCAAAUGCUGACUUUUCUUUUUGUCUUGUGUUUCCUGUGACUAUUUUGCAAAUCAAUGGGUUAAUUUGUAAAUUUUACUUUGCAGAUGAUGUGAUGCCAGGCACUUACUGUGAAAUUGACUUAGAUAAAGAGAAGAGAGAUGCGUUUGUGUAUGCUAUCAAGAAUCACUAUUGGUAUCAGAUGUACAUAGAUGACUUACCAAUAUGGGGUAUUGUUGGUGAAGCAGA